rnacentral:rRNA from 1 species
UACGUAGGGGGCAAGCGUUGUCCGGAAUCAUUGGGCGUAAAGAGCGCGUAGGCGGUCCGGUAAGUCCGCUGUGAAAGUCAAGGGCUCAACCCUUGAAUGCCGGUGGAUACUGUCGGGCUAGAGUCCGGAAGAGGCGAGUGGAAUUCCUGGUGUAGCGGUGAAAUGCGCAGAUAUCAGGAGGAACACCUAUUGCGAAGGCAGCUCGCUGGGACGUAACUGACGCUGAGACGCGAAAGCGUGGGGAGCAAACAGG